GUGCUUGCUUUUAUAAGCGCUAGCUGCACAGUGGGAGUUUUCUAUACAUAAAGCCACCCCUCGGGUCCACAGCGAAUCACAUCUGGUGGCAAGGACUCAGUGGGCAAGCCCGAGAUCAUGCUUGACUGUACUAACUGCAGUGAAUGUAGCUGUUUAGGUUACAAACUCCAACCAUCUCGCUGAUAAAGACAAACGCCAACAAAUACCAGUGACGGGCAGCUGUGGACAUUGGGGUCUAAAGUCCAGUCAUUACAAGCCAUCUCUGCGCUGGGUUUCUUCGCCUUCGAGUGCGUGCCCUUAACAAGAUGCACAUGACCAAAGUCCUCAAGAUGCCACACCAAGAGGUUAUUAUGUGUGAUUGGGUUGUGUCUGUCUGCCUCUGUCUGGCUGAAGGGAGAAAUCCACAGUUGAACUGCUCUCACCUCUACUGAACUGACCUAUACAGCAUUAUGCAUACAGCACAGCACUACAGCGGCUGAGACCAGGGUUUGAUCCCGACUUUGGGUGCUGUCUGUGCGGAGUUUCCACGUUCAUAAGUCGUAGGACUGGAAUAGGCCAUUCGGCUCAACACGUCUACUUUGCUAUUCAAUCAUGGCUGAUCUGUCUUUUCCUCUCAACCCCAUUCUUCUGUCUUCUCCCCAUAACCCCUGACACCCGUACUAAUCAAAAAUCUAUCAAUCUCCACUUUAAAAAUACCCAAUGACGUGGCCUCCACAGCAGCCUGUCUUUCUGUUUUUAGUUCAGAUUUCUAGCAUCUGCAAUUUUUAUUUGUUUUUGCAGCUUUAGACUUUAGAGAUUUGAAUUGAUAUCAACUUUUACAUUGCCAGCAUUUUUUAAAGGUGAAUAUAAGUUCAAUGGUGCCUUUAUUGUCAUGGGCGAAGAGAGGGUCAUUGGUUCGCACAGUAAAAACCUUUGCUUACACAAGAGGGUCCUGUACUGUAUUCCCAUACCUAAGCACAUCCCCGAUUAAUAAGUGUACAGAAAUAAUCCACUGAGCUGCUGCAAGGCCUCCAACCAUCGCCUUCCUUGGACGUGUGGAUCGACUGGUGAACCGACGUCCCUCUCCUCGCCCGUCUACCUUUGUGCCCCAGGGGCGCCUCCUGCAGCCCACCUUGAGUGCGCAGAAGGCCAGAGCCCGGCCCCCUCUCUAUAGUCCAUAUACCUAGUCUACUUAUUCAUUCACGGUUGUUACUGACUUCAUACGGACAUCUGUGGAAGAGUGUGUUCCCACCAAUUGCAUCAAGUGUACCCUAACCAGAAGUCUUGGAUGAACAACUGAGGACCAGAUCACAGGCCUUCCUGACCCGAAACAUCACCUAUCCAUGUUCUCCUGAGAUGCUGCCUGACCCAUUGAGUUACUCCAGCACUUUGUGGCUUUUUUGUGUAAACCACCACCUGCAGUUCAAAUGUUGAAAAAAAUGGAAUGCAAAUGCUGAUUUACACAAAAGUACACAAAGUGUGGGAAUAACCCAGCGGGUCAGGCAGCAUCUCUGGAAAACAUUCCAGCGACCACCACAAUAGGUCAACAUGAGAUGUGAGUUCACUGGCUCUCCAUUCUGCAAUACACCAUGUGGACCAUAGAAACACUUAUGUGUAGGAAGGAAUUGCAGAUGUUGGUUGAUAUCGAAGGUGGAUACUAAACGCUGGAGAGAGUUUUGAAGGGUUCCGACCCGAAACAUCAGCUAUUCCUUUUCUUCAGAGAUGCAGCCUGCUCCACUGAAUUAUAGUCAUAGUCAGAAACAGGCCCUUCGGCCCAACUUGCCCACACCAACCAACAUGUCCCAUCUACCCUAGUCCCAACUGCGUGCGUUUGGCCCAUUUUCCUCUAAGCCUGUCCUAUCCAUGUACCUGUCUAAAUGUUUCUUAAACAUUACCUCAACAAACUCCUCCAGUCACUCGUUCCAUUCACCCACCACAGAUUGUGUGGGAGUAGUCACCUAUCGGGUUCCCCUUUCCCCUGUCACCUUAAACCUAUGCCCUCUGGUUCUCGAUUCCCCAACUCUGGGAAAGAGACUCUGUGAUCUAUUCCUCUCAUGAUUUUGUACAUUUGAGUAUACCGGAGUUACCUCAGCGUUUUGUGUCUAUCUUCAAGUCUAGUCGAUCGGGCUGUUGUUCAUUGACUACAGCUCGACGUUUAACUCCAUCACCUCCUGUUAAGUUCUCAUGAAACUCAGAGAUCUAUGUCUCUGUUCAUCCCGAAUGUAAUUGGGUGCUCGACUUCCUCGUCGGCAGACCACAAUCACUAUGAAUUGGAAACAACAUUUCCUCCUCGAUCAAAACACAGAGAGUGUCUCUCUCGCUCUCUCGCUCUCUCUCUUCCUGGAAUACCUUUAACAAUUACCAGUCUACAGUUUCACCUUGCCUCACCACAUUCUUCCCGUUGUGAUUUAUUGCUUCAUACUUCUCAGUGUUAGAUUUCAUCUGUUACAUAUCAGCCCAUGUUACCAGUCUGUUA